UCCUGUUUCUGGUAAUUUUGAUACUUGUAGUUGUUUUACCACAUGUUGAGUAGUUUGGUUUUCAGUAUGUUUUUCUUGUUUAUCUGUAAAUUUUGGAUUGUGAACUCAUUUUAAGUGGGACUUUUUGGUGGAAAUCUUGUAUAACCUACAGAGCAGAUUUUAAUUUCCUUUGCUAUGGAGAUUUCCAGGUUGGCAGGAAUAUUUUGUUGUGGUGGUUAAUUUUUGGUGGCAGACAUCUCCAGACAAUGGAAUAGGCUCAUGAUUAUACAUUUUGGGGAGAGAUAAUUAUUUUUUCCACCUCAAGUCUGGGCCAAGAUAGUUUUCCUUUUUUGGAUGGCAUUUUGUUAUCAUUACAGUAUCCCUUUUGCAGAGGGGUAAAAGCUUCUGGAAUCUCUCUUGAUUCAGGAGCCUCAGUUUAAUCUCUCUUUCUUCUUGUCUGCUACUUAUAAUUAAGAACCUGACAUUUUGGUUGUAAAGACAUGUAAAACACUGUGAAGCUGUCUAAUAUCACCAGCUUAUUCUUAUCUUUCUAGUUUAAGUUUCUCAAUCAUUUUUGGCCACUGUGUAUUUCUCUUGCCUUAUUAUCUUUAGUUUUAUAGGGGGAGUUUUUUCUAGUUUUUCCCAUCCCCAAACUACCAGAAAGAAAAGUCUCUCUGCUGGACUCUUAAAGCCUAGGGUAUUCAGAUAAGGCUGUCCAGUUAGAAAGAAAAUGAUUUAAACAGUGAGAGAGCCAAACAGAGUAUAAUAUACAUGUGUUUACUUUAAAAUUUUGUCUUGUGCCUUUGCCUGCAUUGAACUGUAUUUUUAGGGAAAUAACUUGUUCUUGACUAAAAAUGUUUUUAUUCUUUUAACAAGUUGUUACUAAGCAUCUAAUGCCUGCGCCACAGCAUGGGAUGCACUUUCAUUUUCAGUUUCUAAAAGAUAAAGAAACCCAUGUUUGAAUUGGAAAAAUGACAAUCAGUGCUCUGCAGAUCUUCCAUGUGAAAACUGUGUCCUUAAAACCAAACAAAAAGGAGAUUAAAUGGUGCUGGAAUUUUGACAAUGUUGUCAAAAACUGUUGGCCAUUAAAAGCAAUUAGCCCAUUGUUCUUAUUAACUGAACGUGCAACUUAACGGGGCUCACAGGGUUCAGAAUCUGAAUAUGAUUUGAUCUCUUUUUUUUGCAAGUAAUUAUGACUCAAAGAAAGACUCAGUAGAUAGAUCUACAGUUAUACAAAUGUGCUCCUUUGGAAAUGGGUAUUCUGCUCUUUGUAUCAGUCUUCUAGAAGAUGAGCUUUUCCAGUUCUGCAAGCAUGGUUUACUUGGCCCGAGAAUACAUAGGGACACCCAUUCACAUAUAUUAAUUUGGCUGAGAGAUAAAGCAAGAGUACAGUGGGUGAUGACCCUCAUCCUGCUACACCUUGCCUGAAAGGUCACUGCAGUGGAUCUUGAAGCAAAGUGUUCUUUUGAGAAAAACUGUUUAGAACUGAAAAAUAAUUCAAAUUUUAAUAAAAAGUUUCUAUGCCCUUACAUGGUUAAGGGACCUCUAAGUAUAAGAAUGUAUAGGAAUUCUGUUUCGAGGUCACUCUGACCUUGAAGCAAGCUGGAGCACAAGCAAUCGCCGUUGCUCUUCCCACGGCCCCAAACUAUUGUGAGGUGGCUCAGAAACCAUGAAGGACACCUUUGAGUAAAGACAGAAGGGCACAUAUCCAUUACUGAAUUGUUGUGCAGUCUCUGACAUUUUCCCACCAGUGCCUGAGAUGUCCAUGAGACCCCAGUAGCCAAGACUGAUGGAGAAGUCUGGGGAUGAAGGAACUUGGGCCUAGUGAUGUGAAGCUAUACACCCCCAAAAUGACAUCACCCAACUGCAAAGUGGAGGAACCAAGCUUCCCCAGGUAAUAUUGUUCUAAAAGUCUUUAUUCCUAAUCACUGCUCUGUAUUUCUAUGCUAAGUUUUCUCAGUCCCCACACUCAAAAGUGUUUUCAUCAGCUUUCCUCUUUCUUCUAGUCCAAUUCAUGACUUCUUGGCUUUUAUUUCAAAAUGUUUUUGGUGCUCACAUCUGUCAGGAUCUGCAGAGGUACAAAUGGCCCAUGGAAAAAAAAAAAAAAGAGAGAGAGAGAGAGCCAUGGAGAUAUAAUUAAGGAAACUAUAAAGGGAUGGGGAAGCUUCCACGUGCUAACACCAUUGGGGUGCUCUUACCAUCCCUAGUCUUAGAUGGAAUCCACAUGUAUGGGAAUCCAGAGAAAGCUGUAUGGAAUGAAGUGGGACUGUCCACCAGUUCCUAGAGAAAUGCAGCCAUUACUGAACCGUGGUGAGGUGUGAGAUGGCAUGGGGUGGGAUGUGGGGAGAGUAAAUACCCCGACUUAUUUCUCCCUGUGGCUUCCAAUUUCCCACUUGUGCUUCAUUAUGUCAUGCUUGGAUCAUUAUUGCUGUGCCCUCAGUGAUCUCUCUUCAUUCCCUUCCACUCUAGCCUGCUGCCCUAUCACCAGGGCACUGUCUCUAAGGUGCUUUUCCAUUUUUCUUCUCAUAACCUUCAAAGGGUUGUUACUACUCUUCAGUCUGUUGUUGACAAUCCUCCAAGUCCUGAGUCCAAUCCCUUUUUCAUAUGUUAUCUUCUGCAACUCUCCUAGCCCUGUGCCCCAUCAGCUUCCUCACUGCUGUCCCCCUUUCUAUAAAUGUUCUAUUCUCAUACUUCCACCAAAUGCUAGAUCUUAUAUCCUUCCUUAGGUCUGAAUUACCUCUGAUCUCCUUUCCAAAUCCUGGAUAUCCUUCAAGGCUCAUCCCUUCUGGAGAAACUUCUCUGACCACUCCUGCCUAUGUGGGUCCCUCUGUCUCCACAACUUUCUGCUGAAUCGUGGGUAACACGUUACCAAUUACAUCAUGACUGUUUCUGUUGGUAUCAUAACUACAUGCCCUGUCUCCUCUGAGAGUGAGGAUCCCAAAAUCAAGGGUAUUGUUGAUGGUUUGUUGGUGUGACCCUCAUUUUCUAAGCUGUAAUAGUUUGAAGGGGGUACAAUUAAAACAGUGUGGGGGACAGUUAACAUGCUAAUAAAAAGCAAUGUAUGGUCUAAGCCUUUUCCUGUAAAACCAAGGAAACCCCAGCCUUCAAGUCCCUCUCCUGGCCAAGUCCCAGGUGCUCACUUUUUCUGCUAGAAGCACUUUCAACCAAGGGCCCAAGGUCACCUCCCCUGUGCUCCAUCUUUGUUACUAUAGGCUGCAGGUUGAGACUGAAGUGUGUACUGUAGGCAUCUUUCAAUUUUGAGCCUUAUGUGAGGACUGUUCAUUUCUAUGUGGUUGAUGUUCUCAUUCUUUGUCACAUAAGCCAUCCUAUUUGCCAAAAGUUGCCUGUUAGGAUGAGAUUAUUUAAUUCACACCCCUAGAGAGUACCAGUCUACUGACCCCUAGCUCAUGUUUCUGGCUUAAGUUAGUCCAUGUCAACUCUUCCCUCAUGUAGGACAAAGUGUGGGAGAUAACCUUCCUUUCUUUUCUUCGCUCAAGAAUCUCAGUGCUGGAGGUUCCAUGAGCUCUGCCCAGCUGAAAACCCUUUAUGGAACCUUCUGUGACAUGCUUGGAUGGACGUGAGCUCCCCUAACCAGCCUGACAACUUGUUCUCGCAGGACCCUUGCCGUCUGUCAUCUACUCUGAUGUCUCCAUAUUGAUUUUUUUCUCUUCCCUUUUCCCAAUCUCAUACUUUAAGACUCUAGAGUCUCCUACUGCUGCUAGGAAAGCUCAGAACUUGACUUUUUGACAGGUGAGUGGGGGCAGAAUGAGUUACCAAAUGGAAAUGGAUUCAUUCCAUAGAUGAUUUGGAUGACUUCACAGGCCUUAUGUCCAGAAGUCUUUUUAUCUUUUUGUAUUUUUCUACCCUUUUUCAAUGACUGUUUCUAAAGAUGACAGGUUCUCCAGGAGCUUCAUCUGAACUGGAGGAAUUUAAAAAGACAAUCCUAAGAAAGGCCAAAGUAUUUCCAAGAAGAAGGAAGAGUUUGCAUAGUGAAAUCUAUUAUAAUGGCUAUCAGGGGGUCUUCUGAAUAAUAGAUGCACAGUUUAAAAAAAUAGUUUUCUGUGCCCAUUAAUUUUGGAGCAAAGAAGUGCAACACUCAUCCUUUUCUAGGCUACUAUAAUUUGUAAUUAGGUGAUGAAAUGCGCUCUUUUCCAAAUUCAGCAGCAGUUAGCCAUCUAGAUGUUUCUUCCUAUCAUGUAAAUGUUAUAUUGCUUUUUCAGAGAAGAUCGCAGAGAUGAAAAACAUCACCAGACAAGCUAAAUCAAGACAGGGAAUGGAGGGAAAAAAGGAACCAUUUAAAAAAGCAGUGGAGUCCCUACUAGAACAUUCCUUCUAAUGACUUUAACAUUGGGGAGGAACUUAUUUGUCUAUCUUAGCUGUGAUACAAUCCUAUGAUGUUAAAGAGGAAGGCAGAGUAGAUAAGACCAGAGAAGGGGCCAUGGGCAAUUUUACAAACACAAAGACCUUCUUUUGUUGGAAUGGUGGAAUGGAAAAGAAAAGAAAAGAAAAAAAAAGAAAACCCAGAAGCUGAAUUUGGUGGGUUGGAGGGCUUGCAAAUGCAACCAGCUGAAACUUUGUAAACAUUUAGCAUAAAACUCAUUUUUAAUCUCAUAAACUUAAUUUUUUCCCCUAGCAUAUGGGAUGCAUAAAAAGGAAAUAAAACUUUAGUAAAUUGAGCCUUACUUGUGCUUUAUAAAAAAGAAAUUGAAUUGCUCUAAUGGCAGCUGCAGCUGGCUUUCAGCUUCGAACAACCAGUGUAAAUCUAGUUUUUAGUGCUUGAUUUAGUAAACACUCGGCUGCAAACAGGCUUCGAAAACAGCUCUGAAUUCAGGGCUUUCCGUAAAGGCAGUUAUGUAACCUCUGUGUAUUAUGCCUUUAAAAUAUGUGAAGAAUAGCAAAAUCCGUGGUUGAGGUAUCUUACAAUUAUCCUUUAUAUUUAAAUCAGCAUGGAAUUUGCUACUCAGUAUACAUAGUGCUAGCACAAAAGGAUUCUAAUAGGCCAUACAUUUAAAUGUAUAUGUAAUACUCAUUAAAAAUUAAAAAAAAAUGUAGAGUACUAUUAACCAGUUCAGAAGCCAGGGUUCAGUUGGACUUGUUUAGUUAUCUGCAAGUGAGAAUCACGGCUUGUUUUGUGUUCUGUCCCUUUCUCUGAGCCUUGUCAUGCUCCCCACACACUGAGGAGAUGCAAGAAAUCCUGGUUUGUAUUCUGUUUAGCAGAGGCUGCAUGAGCCCAGCUUGCAAUUUUUGCUAAAAAUAGGGAGAAAAAUCUUGUUCCUGAUGAAUGAGAUGAAACAUCCAACUGCUUUUAAAUUGACACUCAAGUUAACACUUGUAAUGGCAGUUCAUCCUAAAUAUUUCUAAGUGACUUAAACUGCCUGGGGGCUUUGGGGUUUUGGCGGUUGUUGUUGUUGUCCAAUCACUCUAUAUAGUCACAAAACCAGAGUUGGCCUCUCACGACAUUCCUGCUAAAGAAGUCUUUUAAAAUAAUUCUGGCUAGGACGGCCAAGGUUAACCCUGGGAACAAUAUGGAAUUAGGAUAAAUCAGUGCCUCUUUCUUCCUCCCUUAACCAUCUUCUACUAUCUCAGGCUUAUUUUCAGCUGGCUGCCCACCAGUCUGCCUAAGGACAAGAGAUAAGGUACUUACUCUCUUUUUCAGGGACAUUUCUGAUUUUUAAAGAGAACCUUGAAUGUGGAAAAGUCCUAAGACUCCAAAUUCGUGCUGUUUGUAAGACAGGUUCUGGGGUCGAUCUGAGCAGAGGGCAGUUUGUUCUAAGUCUGGGUCUGGACAUAGUGACUUGACUUUUAAGAAGUAAAUUCAUUCACACCCUCUUUCUUUUUCCACCAUCUGGUCAUUUGGCUGCCAGCAAUUGGAUCUUAUUAAACUUUAUGGAAAGUGAAAACAAGACUGCUGUACAGCACGGUUAUUACAUACUAUUGAGGAGAUUUCCCUCUGCUAACAGUAGGUUCUUGCAACCAUUUGGAAAAUGACAGACUCUACUCACGCCAUCAUCAUCAUCCAUUCUCCUUACCAUCUGCCUUCCUUCCAAGUCAACAGACACAUACCUCUUCCUGUAAGGCAAAUCUAAUCAAUGCUUAUCCUCCAACUGUCAGACCCUACUAGUGGCACAUCCAUCAGCAGCACAAGAGUUGCAGAUGUCAUAGGAUGGACCCAAGCUGAGGCAGGUGCCUUGUCUCCCUCACUGAGAUAACAAAGAGAAGAGAAGAAAUGGAGGCCUGUUCUCAAAUGGAGGAUUACUACAGCUUAAGGUUAAUGUAGAAGUAAAAGUGAAGGGAGUUCCCUGGUGGUCUAGUGGUUAGGACUCAGUGCUUUCACCCCUAUGGCCCAAGGUCAAUCCUUGGGCUGGGAAAUGAGAUGGCACAUCAAGCCGCUGCCUGCAAAGACCAUACCAAGAUAGGCCAUGAAAAAGAAAAACAUCAAAGUGAAGCUAGAGACAUCAAGUUCAACCCCUUGUCUGAAAAGUUGGGAAGCUGGUCUUCCAAGGUUGUCUGGAUUGGCCUCAAAUCACAUCUGAUGAGCAGCCGCAGCCUCUUCAAGUCCAGCGAUCACUGGCUUCACACAUGUGUCCCCAGUCCUGUCUUUGCAGAAACACAGGAAAAACAAAUAGGAGAGGUAGUCUGCGAUAAUGGCACUUCAGAAAAGAGGAUUUGAUGUCAAGACUAUAAGUAAACACCACCAAUUGCCCCAGAUGAAUGCUACAGAAAUGCUGAAGACUUUACUGCAAUUCCUUUUAAAGUCAGAUAUUCUCUUGUGAAAGAUGUUCGAACAAUCUAAUGAUGGAUGUUCAUUAGUUUACUGCUGUCAAGACAAGCUACCACUCCACAUCUCUGAUGCUGAUCAUGUUUUUGCAGCCAUGAUUGAGUUGUUGAAAAACAAACAAACAAACAUACACUCCACAGAGCUCUCUCGACUGUGUCUAAACCAGCACCAACUUGAAAUAUCAUGGGCUUACUCAGCGGCAUCAAAACCCACAAAAGCAAAUAGGUUAGAUCCAUCCCAGAGACUUUUCUGCAGCAGUAAAUGGAUUUGCCCUCUUUAGAGCAGGGAGCACAGUUCCAACACAAUUAUUCUUAUUGGAAUAGACUAAGGAAUUUACUUCAAAUGAGGUUGCUGGUUGUCCUGCAGAAGCUGUAUCAGAAUAAAUAUCCAGCUACUCUUCAGAGGCAUAAUUGGUUCAUUCUCCCCUGAGACAUUUGUGCUCCAGGAACUGUAGAUGGCCAACUAUGUUUAGGUGGAGGAAAAAUUAUUUUACUCAACGGACACGUGUGUCACCCAGGUGCGGCGGAUAGCAGGACAGCUCCUGUUCCCAAGGGCAGCGAGGCAAGUUGGUGCUCGGAGUCUGGAGCUGGGGAGGGUCAGCAGCAGCAGCAAAGGAACCCACACAUGUGCCUGGUCCUGGAUCCCUGGACUUGCUGGCCCAUUUUGGGAGCAACGCACUGUGCUUCUGGCAUGUUCUUCUUGUGAUGCAGCCAUUCCAAGUGGGUUUCUGUGGCCAGCCAUAAGAUCCUCACAAACACAGGCUCUUUCUGAGGUUUGGACCUGCGGAUGCAGAAGUUAACUGGAGCCCCAGCCCCACAGCCUAGAGGCAUCAGUUGUGUGAGGUGGGGGGGCAGGUUUCCUAAAGCCAGACCUGCUCCCUCUCACCUGAUUCCACUUCAGAACACUUUUCUUGCCAAAAUCAGAACCUGAAGGAGAACAAUAUAAUCACCCACAACUCAGAGAAUAGAGUCAAAGAAGCAUAGUUUUAGGAAAAACAUUCAUGUCACCCUUCCCCGCCCUUCCAACACCAGUUGAAUUCCUAUUCUUUCAUGGAGAGCAGCAGCUGUGCAAAAGGCACUGGUGUCUUGGGGUUCAGUGUCGGGGUUCGCUUAGCUAAGCCUUAUUGAAGACAAACUUGCCAGCAGCUGAUGGUUACCUUUUUCUCUUUACUUCCCACCUGUCCACUGAAUCCAUUUAGGGGUGGGGAAAAGAGGCAACCCAGAGCUAAGGAUGGUUCCUACCUGCCGAGGCAUUCAGAGACAGAGCCUCUGGAAAUGAGAAUAUAAUUUAUCAAGCAGUGUGUGUUCAAUGAUUCAGAAAGAUCCAUAUGUGCUUUUGUUUCAGCCACUCUAAUGAGAAUGUGUCAACUCUAGUUAGAUUCUUCUAUUAUCAGGCUCAUUCCUGAUUAGUCAGAGUGGCUGCUCUCCAGAGAGGCAUAGUCUUACUGCAGGGAAGCACAAGGCUUGCAGAGAGGCUUUCUUCCUCACCUGGGACCUCUGGGUUAGGACUGAGCCCCUUCCACUGUCAAAAAUCAGUGUUACUUCCUAAGGAACUUGACCUUCCAGCAUCCUUAUCUACUGCCCGUUUUUAGCAAGCAAAGAAAAAGGUCUAGGGCAGGAUCUUCAAGAGUGAGUGAUUUAGAGGGAAGGGCAGGGCUGGAGCCAGAGGCCGAUGCAGAACAAGAGGUCACAUUGUUCAACAGACCAAAAGAAAAUGACAUUCCUUUCCGUUCCCUGCUGAAAUGAAGGUCAAGUCUUCCCGUUUGGAGACAACUGGUAUCCCAAGGUGACAGACUAUUUUACAGUCACACGAAUGUGUUGUCCAGCAAAUAGAUCCUGAAACACAUGAAUGGCCAAGGAUUAGUAUAAAUGUUCCACUCAAAGAAAAUGAUCUUCCCCCAGUUCUUGCAAAACCUUGUGCUUUUGUCUAGAAAGAGAAACCCUGGGGACAAAAAUGGAAACUGAGGGUGAAGCAAAUAAUUUUUUUUUCCAACUCAAUAUUCCACCUGCAAAGGGUGAAGAACGCGUAAGAAGUGCCAUAGCACUGGAAACUGAGCAGGCUUUUCUCCCUGCUAGCCGGACAUGGUCUACGUGGGAACAUCGCCUAAUGGCUUAUUUGUGAGGACGGCCAAGUAAGGAUGGGGUGACAAACAGAAGACAAGAUAACCACUACUAACUCCUUUAGCCCAGAGACCACGCUUAAUUUCUUCGUAUUUGUCAGCCUUGCUGAAUAGAAGUGGACACAUAACCAGAGCCGAGAGGUGUUUCAGCAGCAACCUGACCAACCUUUUGGAUGAGUCUUUUGGAGCAAAAGUACCACAAAUACUAUAAUAACAACUUACGAUUUUUCUGUGUUUAUCUCUACUGGAAAAGAUUUCCAACCACCAGACCUACAGACUGCCUCAUGUCAUAUGGAGUUUCCUAGGUCACGGAUCAGAUUUGAGCCA